rnacentral:rRNA from 1 species
UACAGAGGUCUCAAGCGUUGUUCGGAUUCAUUGGGCGUAAAGGGUGCGUAGGUGGCGCGGUAAGUCGGGUGUGAAAUUUCGGAGCUUAACUCCGAAACCGCAUUCGAUACUGCCGUGCUUGAGGACUGGAGAGGAGACUGGAAUUUACGGUGUAGCAGUGAAAUGCGUAGAUAUCGUAAGGAAGACCAGUGGCGAAGGCGGGUCUCUGGACAGUUCCUGACACUGAGGCACGAAGGCCAGGGGAGCAAACGGG